ACACGGAGGGCGCAAGCGUUGCUCGGAAUCACUGGGCGUAAAGCGGGUGUAGGCGGUCUAGCAAGUCAGAUGUAAAAGCCCACGGCUCAACCGUGGAAGUGCAUCUGAAACUGCUAGACUUGAGUGCCGGAGAGGGAAGUGGAAUUCCUGGUGUAGGGGUGAAAUCCGUAGAUAUCAGGAGGAACACCGGUGGCGAAGGCGACUUCCUGGACGGCCACUGACGCUGAGACCCGAAAGCGUGGGGAGCAAACAGGAUUAGAAACCCUAGUAGUCC
rnacentral:rRNA from 1 species